CGUUGAAGCACCGGUUCUCGUACGAUCACCAAAGUUAAGCAACGUCGAACUUAGUCAUUACCUAGGUAGGUGACCGCUUAGGAAUAUCAGGUGCUGUAAG